GUAGAUAUAGUUUAACAAAAACAUUAGAUUGUGAUUCUAAAAACAGAGGUUAAAAUCCCCUUAUCCACC
rnacentral:tRNA from 5 species